rfam:Arabis alpina cultivar Pajares Aa.chr7_contig_2709, whole genome shotgun sequence.
AUUCUAUAGUGAGGACAACUUUUGGGGUACUCCUUAAGACGUUCACAGGCUUCACUGAGAGAUUCCUCACUGUCUAGCCUAACGGAAUUUAUAUCAAUUCUGAACUU